rnacentral:rRNA from 1 species
UACAGAGGUGGCAAGCGUUGUUCGGAAUUACUGGGCGUAAAGGGCACGUAGGCGGCCUUCUAAGUCAGACGUGAAAUCCCCCGGCUUAACCUGGGAACUGCGUCUGAUACUGGAGGGCUUGAGUGCGGGAGAGGGAUGUGGAAUUCCAGGUGUAGCGGUGAAAUGCGUAGAUAUCUGGAGGAAUACCGGUGGCGAAGGCGGCAUCCUGGACCGGCAUUGACGCUGAUGAGCGAAAGCUAGGGGAGCAAACGGG